rnacentral:rRNA from 1 species
GCUCAGAUUGAACGCUGGCGGCAGGCCUAACACAUGCAAGUCGAACGGUAACAGGAAACAGCUUGCUGUUUCGCUGACGAGUGGCGGACGGGUGAGUAAUGUCUGGGAAACUGCCUGAUGGAGGGGGAUAACUACUGGAAACGGUAGCUAAUACCGCAUAACGUCGCAAGACCAAAGAGGGGGACCUUCGGGCCUCUUGCCAUCAGAUGUGCCCAGAUGGGAUUAGCUAGUAGGUGGGGUAACGGCUCACCUAGGCGACGAUCCCUAGCUGGUCUGAGAGGAUGACCAGCCACACUGGAACUGAGACACGGUCCAGACUCCUACGGGAGGCAGCAGUGGGGAAUAUUGCACAAUGGGCGCAAGCCUGAUGCAGCCAUGCCGCGUGUAUGAAGAAGGCCUUCGGGUUGUAAAGUACUUUCAGCGGGGAGGAAGGGAGUAAAGUUAAUACCUUUGCUCAUUGACGUUACCCGCAGAAGAAGCACCGGCUAACUCCGUGCCAGCAGCCGCGGUAAUACGGAGGGUGCAAGCGUUAAUCGGAAUUACUGGGCGUAAAGCGCACGCAGGCGGUUUGUUAAGUCAGAUGUGAAAUCCCCGGGCUCAACCUGGGAACUGCAUCUGAUACUGGCAAGCUUGAGUCUCGUAGAGGGGGGUAGAAUUCCAGGUGUAGCGGUGAAAUGCGUAGAGAUCUGGAGGAAUACCGGUGGCGAAGGCGGCCCCCUGGACGAAGACUGACGCUCAGGUGCGAAAGCGUGGGGAGCAAACAGGAUUAGAUACCCUGGUAGUCCACGCCGUAAACGAUGUCGACUUGGAGGUUGUGCCCUUGAGGCGUGGCUUCCGGAGCUAACGCGUUAAGUCGACCGCCUGGGGAGUACGGCCGCAAGGUUAAAACUCAAAUGAAUUGACGGGGGCCCGCACAAGCGGUGGAGCAUGUGGUUUAAUUCGAUGCAACGCGAAGAACCUUACCUGGUCUUGACAUACACGGAAGUUUUCAGAGAUGAGAAUGUGCCUUCGGGAACCGUGAGACAGGUGCUGCAUGGCUGUCGUCAGCUCGUGUUGUGAAAUGUUGGGUUAAGUCCCGCAACGAGCGCAACCCUUAUCCUUUGUUGCCAGCGGUCCGGCCGGGAACUCAAAGGAGACUGCCAGUGAUAAACUGGAGGAAGGUGGGGAUGACGUCAAGUCAUCAUGGCCCUUACGACCAGGGCUACACACAUGCUACAAUGGCGCAUACAAAGAGAAGCGACCUCGCGAGAGCAAGCGGACCUCAUAAAGUGCGUCGUAGUCCGGAUUGGAGUCUGCAACUCGACUCCAUGAAGUCGGAAUCGCUAGUAAUCGUGGAUCAGAAUGCCACGGUGAAUACGUUCCCGGGCCUUGUACACACCGCCCGUCACACCAUGGGAGUGGGUUGCAAAAGAAGUAGGUAGCUUAACCUUCGGGAGGGCGCUUACCACUUUGUGAUUCAUGACUGGGGUGAAGUCGAAACAAGGUAACCGUAGGGGAACCUGCGGUUG